UACGAGGGGGGCAAGCGUUGUUCGGAAUUAUUGGGCGUAAAGGGUGCGUAGGCGGUUUUGUAAGUCUUGUGUGAAAUCUCCACGCUCAACGUGGAGGCGCCACGUGAGACUGCUGUGACUCGAGUCCGGUAGGGGAGCGUGGAAUUCCCGGUGUAGCGGUGAAAUGCGCAGAGAUCGGGAGGAACACCAGUGGCGAAGGCGACUACCUGGCCUGUUCUUGACGCUGAGGCGCGAAAGCUAGGGUAGCAAACGGG
rnacentral:rRNA from 1 species